UUGAACGCUAGCGGCAUGCCUUACACGAUGCAAGUCGAACGGCAGCACGGGGGCAACCCUGGUGGCGAGUGGCGAACGGGUGAGUAAUGCAUCGGAACGUGCCCAUCGAUGGGGGAUAACUGCGCGAAAGCGUUGCUAAUACCGCAUACGACCUACGGGUGAAAGCAGGGGACCGCAAGGCCUUGCGUCGAUGGAGCGGCCGAUGCCGGAUUAGCUAGUUGGUGAGGUAAAGGCUCACCAAGGCGACGAUCCGUAGCUGGUCUGAGAGGACGACCCAGCCACACUGGGACUGAGACACGGCCCAGACUCCUACGGGAGGCAGCAGUGGGGAAUCUUGGACAAUGGGCGAAAGCCUGAUCCAGCAAUGCCGCGUGUGGGAAGAAGGCCUUCGGGUUGUAAACCACUUUUGGCGGGAAAGAAAUGGUCUGUGCUAAUACCACGGAUUGAUGACGGUACCCGCAGAAUAAGCACCGGCUAACUACGUG
rnacentral:rRNA from 1 species